CAGUCGCCGCGGUAAUACGUAGGUGGCAAGCGUUGUCCGGAAUUAUUGGGCGUAAAGGGCUCGCAGGCGGUUUCUUAAGUCUGAUGUGAAAGCCCCCGGCUCAACCGGGGAGGGUCAUUGGAAACUGGGGAACUUGAGUGCAGAAGAGGAGAGUGGAAUUCCACGUGUAGCGGUGAAAUGCGUAGAGAUGUGGAGGAACACCAGUGGCGAAGGCGACUCUCUGGUCUGUAACUGACGCUGAGGAGCGAAAGCGUGGGGAGCGAACAGGAUUAGAUACCCCUGUAGUCCCUGUCUCUUAUAC
rnacentral:rRNA from 1 species